GAGGAGGAGGCGGAAAACUAUAUAGAUAAAGACUAUAUAUCUCUUGAAUGAAAAUACUCCAAAUAUGCUCAGUGUGUAUUAGAUCAGGGAUGCAUACAGGAUACAAACUUAGCUCUGUCUUCUCCUUCAAGUACUCUUCAAAUGUUGUGGUGAAACGCAGCUUCCUUUGGCUGAAACUGGAGGACUGAUCCGAUGUACUCCACAACAAUUGUCCCAUUGUGUGAUGUGGUAGCUUUGCACAUGUCUUAAGGAUAACCGCACCAGAUCCGACUACUGUUGUGAUAUCACUGAUUGCCCUCUAGCCUCCAUCAUCACUUUGAUUCCAUCCUUACACCAGCUCUGGCACCUGAAUAAAGAUUUCCUAUCACUGAAGCCUGAGCACAAGCGCCAUGCUCUUAAAAUGUGACAAAUGCAAAUGGGAUGAGAGAAAUCAAAUGUGACUAACGUGAAUGGAAACAGAGAAAAUCAAUUGUCUCCUGAACAAAUGGAUGAGCUAUUAAAAUGAUUGUGUGCUACAGGAAUAUAUUAUCCUCAAUAGCUGCCAGCAGAGGCAACAGCAGCUUAUA